AGUGGCGGACGGGUGAGUAACGCGUGAGAAUCUGCCUUGGGGUCGGGGACAACCACUGGAAACGGUGGCUAAUACCGGAUAAGCCGAUUGGUGAAAGAUUUAUUGCCCGAAGAGGAGCUCGCGUCUGAUUAGCUAGUUGGUGAGGUAAGAGCUCACCAAGGCAGCGAUCAGUAGCUGGUCUGAGAGGACGAUCAGCCACACUGGGACUGAGACACGGCCCAGACUCCUACGGGAGGCAGCAGUGGGGAAUUUUCCGCAAUGGGCGAAAGCCUGACGGAGCAAGACCGCGUGAGGGAGGAAGGCUCUUGGGUUGUAAACCUCUUUUCUCAGGGAAGAAGCUCUGACGGUACCUGAGGAAUCAGCCUCGGCUAACUCCGUGCCAGCAGCCGCGGUAAUACGGAGGAGGCAAGCGUUAUCCGGAAUUAUUGGGCGUAAAGCGUCCGCAGGUGGCGAUUCAAGUCUGCUGUCAAAGCACGGGGCUUAACUCCGUAAAGGCAGUGGAAACUGAAUAGCUAGAGUGCCGUAGGGGUAGAGGGAAUUCCCGGUGUAGCGGUGAAAUGCGUAGAGAUCGGGAAGAACAUCGGUGGCAAAAGCGCUCUACUGGACGGCAACUGACACUCAGGGACGAAAGCUAGGGGAGCGAAUGGGAUUAGAUACCCC
rnacentral:rRNA from 1 species